AUUGAACGCUGGCGGCAUGCUUUACACAUGCAAGUCGAACGGCAGCGCGGGCUUCGGCCUGGCGGCGAGUGGCGAACGGGUGAGUAAUACACCGGAACGUGCCCAGUAGUGGGGGCUAGGUCGGCGAAAGGCGGAUUAAACCCGCAUAGGACCAGAGGGUGAACGGCGGGGUUCUUCGGAGCAAGCCGGUUUUGAUGUGCCUAUGAGAGAUUAGCUAGUUGGUGGGGUAACGGCCUACCAAGGCGACGAUCUGUAGCGGGUCUGAGAGGACGACCAGCCACACUGGGACUGAGACACGGCCCAGACUCCUACGGGAGGCAGCAGUGGGGAAUUUUGGACAAUGGGCGAAAGCCUGAUCCAGCAAUGCCGCGUGUGUGAUGAAGGCCUUCGGGUUGUAAAGCACUUUUGGCGGGAACGAAAAGGACUGUGCCAAUACCACGGUUCGAUGACGGUACCCGCAGAAUAAGCACCGGCUAACUACGUG
rnacentral:rRNA from 1 species